CCUACGGGAGGCAGCAGUGGGGAAUAUUGGACAAUGGGGGCAACCCUGAUCCAGCCAUGCCGCGUGUGUGAAGAAGGCCCUCGGGUUGUAAAGCACUUUCAGUGAGGAAGAACGCCUGGUGGUUAAUACCCAUCAGGAAAGACAUCACUCACAGAAGAAGCACCGGCUAACUCCGUGCCAGCAGCCGCGGUAAUACGGAGGGUGCGAGCGUUAAUCGGAAUUACUGGGCGUAAAGCGCGCGUAGGUGGCUUGAUAAGCCGGUUGUGAAAGCCCCGGGCUCAACCUGGGAACGGCAUCCGGAACUGUCAAUCUAGAGUGCAGGAGAGGAAGGUAGAAUUCCCGGUGUAGCGGUGAAAUGCGUAGAGAUCGGGAGGAAUACCAGUGGCGAAGGCGGCCUUCUGGACUGACACUGACACUGAGGUGCGAAAGCGUGGGUAGCAAACAGGAUUAGAUACCCUUGUAGUC
rnacentral:rRNA from 1 species